rnacentral:rRNA from 1 species
GAUGAACGCUGGCGGCGUGCCUAAUACAUGCAAGUCGAGCGAACAGACGAGGCGCUUGCUCCUCUGACGUUAGCGGCGGACGGGUGAGUAACACGUGGAUAACCUACCUAUAAGACUGGGAUAACUUCGGGAAACCGGCGCUAAUACCGGAUAACAUGUUGAACCGCAUGGUUCAACAGUGAAAGACGGUCUUGCUGUCACUUAUCGAUGGAUCCGCGCCGCAUUAGCUAGUUGGUAAGGUAACGGCUUACCAAGGCAACGAUGCGUAGCCGACCUGAGAGGGUGAUCGGCCACACUGGAACUGAGACACGGUCCAGACUCCUACGGGAGGCAGCAGUAGGGAAUCUUCCGCAAAGGGCGAAAGCCUGACGGAGCAACGCCGCGUGAGUGAAGAAGGUCUUCGGAUCGUAAAACUCUGUUAUUAGGGAAGAACAAAUGUGUAAGUAACUAUGCACGUCUUGACGGUACCUAAUCAGAAAGCCACGGCUAACUACGUG